rnacentral:lncRNA from 1 species
GGAGUUGGGGACGAAGUUCGGCUCCCGUAGGAGUCCGGGCGAAGUCUUCUUGCAACCAGAGUUGGGGACGAGGUCCGGCUCCCGUAGCAGUCCGGAUGGGGUCUGCCUGCAGUUGAAGUCGAGGAAGAAGUCCGGCUCCCGUAGGAGUCCGGAUGAAGUCUUCCUUCAUGUGAAGUUGGGGGCGAAGUCCGGCUCCCGUAGGAGCCCGGACGAAGUCUACCUGCAAUUGGAGUUGUGGGUGAAGUCCGGCUCCCGUAGGAGUCCGGAUGAAGUUUACCUGUAAGUGAAGUCAUGGGC